rnacentral:tRNA from 1 species
CAGAAGAUAGUUUAAUUAAAAUUUUAAUUUUGGAGAUUAAAGAUAAGAGAAAAGAUCUUUCUUCUGA